AUGCCCAAAAAGAGUGGCCUGGUAGUGGGGCUGGCCGCUGAUCUAAUUCCUAAUGGAGUAGCAGUUCUUCAGUAUGCGGACGAUACCAUCAUAUGCCUGGAGCAUGACAUUGAUAAAGCUGUUAACUUGAAAAUGCUUCUCCAUAUAUUUGAAUUAUUGUCUGGUCUUAAGGUGAACUUCCAGAAAAGUGAGAUCCUCACUGUGGGAGGCGAUGAUAAUGUGGUGAAUGUGUAUGCAGACUUAUUUCAUUGCGAAGUGGGCAGUUUUCCCAUGAAAUAUCUAGGGAUGCCUGUCAGCUAUACCAACCUUAGAAAUUCAGAUUGGGAAUUCAUUGUUACUAAAUAUCUGAAAAAAAUUUGA
rnacentral:rRNA from 1 species